rnacentral:rRNA from 1 species
AACGUAGGACGCAAGCGUUAUCCGGAGUUACUGGGCGUAAAGCGCGGCCAGGCGGCUCGAAACGUCUGAUGUGAAAUCUCCUCGCUCAACGGGGAGAGGCCAUUGGAAACGGUCGAGCUGGAGGGCAGUAGAGGUAGGCGGAAUUCCGGGUGGAGUGGUGAAAUGCGUAGAGAUGCGGAGGAACACCGAUGGCGAAGGCAGCCCCCUGGGCCGACACUGACGCUCAGGCACGAAAGCGUGGGGAGCAAACAGG